AGUUUUGAGCUAAAUAUAUUUAUAAUAUUAGUUAUUUAUGAAGGUGUUGUAAAAUCUUUAUUUAAAAUUAUAUUUAGGGGUGAUAGGCCUUUCAAAAACUAAGAUAUCUUGAAUCUAAUUAAAAGUAUGUAGUACAAUUAAUACAACUAUUAAGUGAUUAGGCUUUAUAGAAUUAUUAACUUAUAAGAUUUUACUUACUAUAAUUUAAUAAUUAAGUACAUAAAUAUAUUAAUAUUCAUAUAUUAUAGUUUAUAAAAGAGUAAUUAGAUAGAUUUAAGUUCAUAUUUCUUAUAAUAAUGUUAAUAUUAGUAUUAAGUUUAUAUUUAUAUGAUGAACUCGGCAAAAAUACUUCUCAACUGUUUAUCAAAAACAUAACUAUGUGAAUGAAUACAUAGCGGUUUCUGCUCAA
rnacentral:rRNA from 1 species